CCGCUGCUCCUGACGCACCAAUUCAGCACAUUUUCCAGCGGAGAUCAUUGUGAGAUUGCAGGACUGGAGGAUGACAGCUCGAGUGUAUUGCUUGUUGAUUGCUGUUUUAUCGUGUCUGUUCGGAUACUUGAGCGUAACAGACGCUACUCGAACCACAGUGGGCGGUUACUGUCCGGCGAAGCUGAUGGUCGUGCCGUCCCGUCGAGGAUGUUCUUCUGAUGGAAACUGCUCUGGAGGACACAAAUGCUGUCAAUUUGACUGUGGGCCUGUUUGCGUGCCGCCUGUUUCAUGAAGCCGGGUCAGUGUCCCGACCCGAAGAACAUUCCACUGUGUGCUGAGAGCCGU